rnacentral:rRNA from 1 species
CGCUAGCCCCUGGCUUAACACAUGCAAGUCGAGGGGCAGCGGGAUUGAACCUUGCUUCAAUUGCCGGCGACCGGCGCACGGGUGAGUAACACGUAUCCAACCUUCCGUUUACUCGGGGAUAGCCUUUCGAAAGAAAGAUUAAUACCCGAUAGUAUGGUGAGAUUGCAUGAUAACACCAUUAAAGAUUCAUCGGUAAACGAUGGGGAUGCGUUCCAUUAGGUAGUAGGCGGGGUAACGGCCCACCUAGCCUACGAUGGAUAGGGGUUCUGAGAGGAAGGUCCCCCACAUUGGAACUGAGACACGGUCCAAACUCCUACGGGAGGCAGCAGUGAGGAAUAUUGGUCAAUGGGCGAGAGCCUGAACCAGCCAAGUAGCGUGAAGGAUGAAGGUCCUACGGAUUGUAAACUUCUUUUAUAAGGGAAUAAAACGCUCCACGUGUGGAGCCUUGUAUGUACCUUAUGAAUAAGCAUCGGCUAACUCCGUGCCAGCAGCCGCGGUAAUACGGAGGAUGCGAGCGUUAUCCCGAUUUAUUGGGUUUAAAGGGAG